rnacentral:misc_RNA from 1 species
UUCAUCAUUGGAAAUGGCUUUUGUGCAAAAAAGAAUCUUCAGGGAGCUUGGAGUUUCUGGUUGGCAUGUGUUCGAAUAUCUGUUUUUGCUAUCAUUGCUUAUCUGUGCAUUGCUCUGUGUGUGGACAUUUCUACCUGUGUGUGCUUUCUACGUGAAUAGUUGUGGUGUAAUGUGUGCAACGAGCUUCUUUAAUGCUGCUUCCUAUGCUGCUGGAUGUGCGCAUAUGCUACUUGUAAUAAAUGAUAGGUUACUUUGUUUUCUGAUGUUUAUUUCGUUGCUGUUUCAGGCAAUCACUUCAAGUG